rnacentral:lncRNA from 1 species
GAUAGAUUCUCGCUGGAGAUUCACCAAGGGUUGGUAUGAUUUUAUUACAGAAUGCAAAUUGAUGGAUGGAGAUCUUUGUCGCUUUGAGUUGAUUGAUAAGAAGAAUAUUGUGUUUAAAGAUACCAUUGAAACCUGCAUUGACUGAUGUUUGUCAGUGAUGUCUGUUUCUCUCUUAUUACUUUUGAAACCUAUCUAGUUAGGUUAAUGUGUGUGUUUUUGUGGAAUUUGGGUUCAGCGUUACGGUUAUUUUGAAACCAAUGUGUCUCUAGGUUAAAGUAUGACUUUUGUAGAACUUGUAUUACUACCGAAUUCCGAUUUUAUGUUUUAAAUUUCAAACCCAUUUACUCUAGUUAUUGUUAGAUUAUUAACAUAGUAGAAUUUCCAUGUAUCUCAUAAUAUUUGAUAUAAUAAC